CUGUCACGAUGGACACAAGUCGCCAUUAGUUAAGUGAAGUGUGCUAGUUAACUGAAGAGUGUGAUCCACCCAUCUCUCACUCCAGAGUCCUGACACACACACAGAACUUCACAGGAAGAAAGCUUCUUUGUCUGGGGAUGGUUCGAUGGGAGCAGAAGACAGAAGUCAAAUUUCUGCUCCCUUAGUUUCUUACUAUUGCACAGAAGUAUUGUCCCCUAGAGCAUCCUUUCGUGAGAGAGGACACUGAUCCAUCGUGGGAACUUUACUCUCAUCUUAGGUCUCCUGUAGCCCAGGCUGGCCUAGAACUUCAUAAGGAGCUAAAUAAAGCUGGCCUUGAACUCCCAAGUCUCUCCAGACUCCAGACCAUUACUGCAAGGGUUAGCCACUGACCGUGGCACAUAUAUUCAACAGUCCUCUGCAGCAUCAGGGCAUGGGGGGGGCACUUGACUCUACCUCUCCAGUGCUGGGAUCUCAGCCAUCUGCCACCACACCCAGCUUAUUCUGAGAAAGGAUCUCCCCAAGCAGCACAUUGUCAUCUCCAGCUCACGGAUUUGAUUUCCCUACCUCCACUGUGCUACAUCUCCUGCUCGUUAUCCCUGACCUUGGAAGUGGCGGCUUUCAAUUUGAUAAAGCAAGGCCAGCUAACAGGACAAGCAUCUGUGGAACAGAGGACACUCUGGAGUCCUGUAUCCCAGUGCAGAGACAUGGGGCCUCCAGAGCUGCUGUGGUUAGUUCUGUCUCUACUCUAGAACACACACUUCUUAGCCCUCUGGAACAGUUGACUGGGGCUCCAGCCCAGCCAGUGUCCAUUUACCCCAUGGACCAUAUG